rnacentral:rRNA from 1 species
AGAAGCACCGGCUAACUCCGUGCCAGCAGCCGCGGUAAUACGGAGGGUGCGAGCGUUAAUCUUAAUUACUGGGCGUAAAGCGCACGCUGGCGGUCUGUUAAGCUAGAUGUGAAAGCCCCGCGCUCAACGUGGGAGGGUCAUUUAGAACUGGCAGACUAGAGUCUUGGAGAGGGGAGUGGAAUUCCAGGUGUAGCGGUGAAAUGCGUAGAGAUCUGGAGGAACAUCAAUGGCGAAGGCAACUCCCUGGCCAAAGACUGACGCUCAUGUGCGAAAGUGUGGGUAGCGAACAGGAUUAGAUACCCUGGUAGUCCACACCGUAAACGCUGUCUACUAGCUGUUUGUGAAUUUAAUUCGUGAGUAGCGAAGCUAACGCGAUAAGUAGACCGCCUGGGGAGUACGGCCGCUAGGUAAAACUCAAAUGAAUUGACGGGGGCCCGCACAAGCGGUGGAGCAUGUGGUU